rnacentral:rRNA from 1 species
CCUCGUGAAUUCAUCUCCGGGGGUAGAGCACUGUUUCGGCAAGGGGGUCAUCCCGACUUACCAACCCGAUGCAAACUGCGAAUACCGGAGAAUGUUAUCACGGGAGACACACGGCGGGUGCUAACGUCCGUCGUGAAGAGGGAAACAACCCAGACCGCCAGCUAAGGUCCCAAAGUCAUGGUUAAGUGGGAAACGAUGUGGGAAGGCCCAGACAGCCAGGAUGUUGGCUUAGAAGCAGCCAUCAUUUAAAGAAAGCGUAAUAGCUCACUGGUCGAGUCGGCCUGCGCGGAAGAUGUAACGGGGCUAAACCAUGCACCGAAGCUGCGGCAGCGACACUAUGUGUUGUUGGGUAGGGGAGCGUUCUGUAAGCCUGUGAAGGUGUACUGUGAGGUAUGCUGGAGGUAUCAGAAGUGCGAAUGCUGACAUAAGUAACGAUAAAGCGGGUGAAAAGCCCGCUCGCCGGAAGACCAAGGGUUCCUGUCCAACGUUAAUCGGGGCAGGGUGAGUCGACCCCUAAGGCGAGGCCGAAAGGCGUAGUCGAUGGGAAACAGGUUAAUAUUCCUGUACUUGGUGUUACUGCGAAGGGGGGACGGAGAAGGCUAUGUUGGCCGGGCGACGGUUGUCCCGGUUUAAGCGUGUAGGCUGGUUUUCCAGGCAAAUCCGGAAAAUCAAGGCUGAGGCGUGAUGACGAGGCACUACAGUGCUGAAGCAACAAAUGCCCUGCUUCCAGGAAAAGCCUCUAAGCAUCAGGUAACAUCAAAUCGUACCCCAAACCGACACAGGUGGUCAGGUAGAGAAUACCAAGGCGCUUGAGAGAACUCGGGUGAAGGAACUAGGCAAAAUGGUGCCGUAACUUCGGGAGAAGGCACGCUGAUACGUAGGUGAAGUCCCUUGCGGAUGGAGCUGAAAUCAGUCGAAGAUACCAGCUGGCUGCAACUGUUUAUUAAAAACACAGCACUGUGCAAACACGAAAGUGGACGUAUACGGUGUGACGCCUGCCCGGUGCCGGAAGGUUAAUUGAUGGGGUUAGCGCAAGCGAAGCUCUUGAUCGAAGCCCCGGUAAACGGCGGCCGUAACUAUAACGGUCCUAAGGUAGCGAAAUUCCUUGUCGGGUAAGUUCCGACCUGCACGAAUGGCGUAAUGAUGGCCAGGCUGUCUCCACCCGAGACUCAGUGAAAUUGAACUCGCUGUGAAGAUGCAGUGUACCCGCGGCAAGACGGAAAGACCCCGUGAACCUUUACUAUAGCUUGACACUGAACAUGAGCCUUGAUGUGUAGGAUAGGUGGGAGGCUUUGA